UUGUUCGCAAUGGGCGCAAGCCUGACGACGCAACGCCGCGUGGAGGAUGAAGGUCUUCGGAUUGUAAACUCCUGUUGCCCGGGACGAAUGGCUCCGACCUAACACGUCGGAGUGUGACGGUACCGGGUGAGGAAGCACCGGCUAACUCCGUGCCAGCAGCCGCGGUAAUACGGAGGGUGCAAGCGUUGUCCGGAUUUAUUGGGUUUAAAGGGUGCGUAGGCGGCCCAUUAAGUCAGUGGUGAAAGCCCGGGGCUCAACCCCGGAACCGCCAUUGAUACUGGUGGGCUUGAGUAUGGACGAGGUUGGCGGAAUUGAGGGUGUAGCGGUGAAAUGCUUAGAUACCCUCAAGAACACCGAUUGCGUAGGCAGCUAACUAGGCCAUAACUGACGCUGAGGCACGAAAGCGUGGGGAGCGAAC
rnacentral:rRNA from 1 species